rnacentral:rRNA from 1 species
UACGGGGGGAGCAAGCGUUGUUCGGAUUUACUGGGCGUAAAGGGCGCGUAGGCGGCCAGUGCAAGUCAGUUGUGAAAUCUCCGAGCUUAACUCGGAAAGGUCAACUGAUACUGCUCGGCUAGAGUGCGGAAGGGGCAACUGGAAUUCUUGGUGUAGCGGUGAAAUGCGUAGAUAUCAAGAGGAAGACCAGUGGCGAAGGCGGGUCUCUGGACAGUUCCUGACACUGAGGCACGAAGGCCAGGGGAGGCAAAACGGGG